rnacentral:rRNA from 1 species
UACGUAGGGGGCAAGCGUUGUCCGGAAUCAUUGGGCGUAAAGCGCGUGUAGGCGGCCCGGUAAGUCCGCUGUGAAAGUCCAGGGCUCAACCCUGGGAUGCCGGUGGAUACUGUCGGGCUCGAGUCCGGAAGAGGAGUGUGGAAUUCCUGGUGUAGCGGUGAAAUGCGCAGAUAUCAGGAGGAACACCAAUGGCGAAGGCAGCUCGCUGGGACGUGACUGACGCUGAGACGCGAAAGCGUGGGGAGCAAACAGG